rnacentral:rRNA from 1 species
AUACGGAGGGUGCAAGCGUUAAUCGGAAUUACUGGGCGUAAAGCGCGCGUAGGCGGUUUGGUAAGUCGGAUGUGAAAGCCCCGGGCUCAACCUGGGAAUUGCAUUCGAUACUGCCAGACUAGAGUAUGGUAGAGGGAAGUGGAAUUCCGGGUGUAGCGGUGAAAUGCGUAGAUAUCCGGAGGAACACCAGUGGCGAAGGCGACUUCCUGGACCAAUACUGACGCUGAGGUGCGAAAGCGUGGGGAGCAAACAGAAUUAGAAACCCUAGUAGUCC